UUAGAUGACACAAACUCAAAGUAGUGACUAUAUUUCCAUCUGGAAAACACACAUAUUUCUCCUUCCUGCAUUGUUAUCGACAUGUGUCGCUCGGUGGUUGCUUGCUUGUGUCCUCGUUUCGCAUACGUGACGUCACUAUCAGAGAUGCAAGAAUAAAGCACACAUAUAAUUUUUAUUUUACAAAGGAUGACUACAAAUAUAGUAACGCGCAGUGACUUAGAUAAGUAACUUUAAUCUGAUUACUAUUUUGGAAAUAGUAACACGAUAAAGUAGUCGGUAUUAAAAAAAGUGGCCACGGUAGAGUAACGCGUUACCGGCAUCACUGGCUAUAUCAGUGUGAAGUCCGGACAGUUGAGACAUCAACAUGGCUUCUGGCAACAACAAGGGAGUGUACACUUUUUGAUGGAUCCAUGUGACAUUUGCCAGAACUGCCUGUCUAAGCCACCCCUAACCAUCCCAUCUGGAGCAAUUUAUGUUGCUUGGUAACACAUUGUUCUGCCUGGGGAGCAUCAGACAUGAGGACUGUGAACACUAUAGGGAAACUGCUUGGUGUCCAACAACUCUGAUCUAACAGGCCAGCAGAUGUUGAAAACUCUUGCAACUACAGUCCAGCAACCUCAGCCAAGCAUUACAAGACUCUUUGUAUAAAAAAGAAAUCCAAAACACCAGGAUGUGUCUCAUCUCCUGGAUUUGGAAUUCCAAUCCAUAAGAGCAUUCAUUGAUUCAGAUGCUAUUCGUGAGGAGGACAGACACAGGAAGGUUAUAGAGGCAUAUCCAUGUUUCAAGGACAUUAGACAUGUCAUGGAGGAUCUUCAACACAUUCUGGACAAGGAUAAUGCCUGUUAUAUUGAUGAACUAAAAGGAAGAUGGCAAGACUGCUGUGAGAAGUUGCAGUCUUUUGGUGUUUGGAAAAAGAUGCUGAAACCACCAAUGGGAAUGG